rnacentral:rRNA from 1 species
CAGCAGCCGCGGUAAUACGUAGGGUGCGAGCGUUAAUCGGAAUUACUGGGCGUAAAGCGUGCGCAGGCGGUUAUAUAAGACAGAUGUGAAAUCCCCGGGCUCAACCUGGGACCUGCAUUUGUGACUGUAUAGCUAGAGUACGGUAGAGGGGGAUGGAAUUCCGCGUGUAGCAGUGAAAUGCGUAGAUAUGCGGAGGAACACCGAUGGCGAAGGCAAUCCCCUGGGCCUGUACUGACGCUCAUGCACGAAAGCGUGGGGAGCAAACAGGAUUAGAUACCCCGGUAGUCCCUGUCUCUUAUAC